GACGUAGGGCGCAAGCGUUGUCCGGAUUUAUUGGGCGUAAAGAGCUCGUAGGCGGCUUGUCGCGUCGCCUGUGAAAACCCGCGGCUCAACCGUGUGGUCUGCAGUCGAUACGGGCAGGCUAGAGUUCGGUAGGGGAGACUGGAAUUCCUGGUGGAGCGGUGAAAUGCGCGGAUAUCAGGAGGAACACCGGUGGCGAAGGCGGGUCUCUGGGCCGAUACUGACGCUGAGGAGCGAAAGCGUGGGGAGCGAACAGG
rnacentral:rRNA from 1 species